AGCAGCCGCGGUAAUUCCAGCUCCAAUAGCGUAUAUUAAAGUUGUUGCAGUUAAAAAGCUCGUAGUUGAACUUCGGGAUCAAUGGAUUGGUCAUGCCGAUGGUAUGUACUGGUCAUAUUGGUUCUCACCUUCUAAGGAACCAUAAUGUCAUUCAUUUGAUGUUGUGGGGAAUUAGGACUGUUACCUUGAAAAAUUAGAGUGUUUAAAGCAGGCUAACGCUUGAAUACAUUAGCAUGGAAUAAUGAAAUAGGACAUCGUAUUCUAUUUUGUUGGUUUCUAGGAUCGAUGUAAUGAUUAAUAGGGAUAGUUGGGGGCAUUAGUAUUCAAUUGUCAGAGGUGAAAUUCUUGGAUUUAUUGAAGACUAACUACUGCGAAAGCAUUUGCCAAGGAUGUUUUCAUUAAUCAAGAACGAAAGUUAGGGGAUCGAAGACGAUCAGAUACCGCCGUAGUCUUAACCAUAAACUAUGCCGACUAGGGAUCGGAUGACGCUUAUUUUUC
rnacentral:rRNA from 1 species